UGCGGAAGGAUCAUUAAAGAUUAUGAAUGAAUAGAUUACUGGGGGAAUCGUCUGAACAAGGCCUGCGCUUAAUUGCGCGGCCAGUUCUUGAUUCUCUGCUAUCAGUUUUCUAUUUCUCAUCCUAAACACAAUGGAGUUUUUUCUCUAUGAACUACUUCCCUGGAGAGCUCGUCUCUCCAGUGGACAUAAACACAAACAAUAUUUUGUAUUAUGAAAAACUAUUAUACUAUAAAAUUUAAUAUUCAAAACUUUCAACAACGGAUCUCUUGGUUCUCGCAUCGAUGAAGAACGCAGCGAAUUGCGAUAUGUAUUGUGAAUUGCAGAUUUUCGUGAAUCAUCAAAUCUUUGAACGCACAUUGCGCCCUCUGGUAUUCCAGGGGGCAUGCCUGUUUGAGCGUCAUUUCUCUCUCAAACCUUUGGGUUUGGUAGUGAGUGAUACUCGUCUCGGGUUAACUUGAAAGUGGCUAGCCGUUGCCAUCUGCGUGAGCAGGGCUGCGUGUCAAGUCUAUGGACUCGACUCUUGCACAUCUACGUCUUAGGUUUGCGCCAAUUCGUGGUAAGCUUGGGUCAUAGAGACUCAUAGGUGUUAUAAAGACUCGCUGGUGUUUGUCUCCUUGAGGCAUACGGCUUUAACCAAAACUCUCAAAGUUUGACCUCAAAUCAGGUAGGAGUACCCGCUGAACUUAAGCAUA
rnacentral:rRNA from 1 species